rnacentral:rRNA from 1 species
UGGGGAAUAUUGCGCAAUGGGGGAAACCCUGACGCAGCAACGCCGCGUGAGUGAGGAAGGCCUUCGGGUUGUAAAGCUCUUUCGGCUGGGAAGAAGGGGAUUUCUCCUAAUAAGAGAGAUUCUUGAUGGUACCAGAAGAAGAAGCACCGGCUAACUUCGUGCCAGCAGCCGCGGUAAUACGAAGGGUGCGAGCGUUAUUCGGAAUUAUUGGGCGUAAAGGGUUCGUAGGCGGGAGAUCAAGUCAAGUGUGAAAUAUCCGGGCUUAACCUGGAAAGUGCAUUUGAAACUGUUUUUCUUGAGUGUUGAAGAGGGUGGUGGAAUUGCUGGUGUAGGAGUGACAUCCGUAGAGAUCAGCAGGAACAUCGGAGGCGAAGGCGGCCACCUGGUCAAUCACUGACGCUGAGGAACGAAAGCAUGGGGAGCAAACAGG